UGAGUAGGCGGUAAUGUGUGUCAGAUGUUUAAUCUAUGGGCUCAACCCAUAUCAGCAUUUGAAACUACAUAACUUGAGUGCAGGAGAGGUAAGUGGAAUUCCUAGUGUAGCGGUGGAAUGCGUAGAUAUUAGGAGGAACACCGGUGGCGAAGGCGACUUACUGGACUGUAACUGACGCUGAGACACGAAAGCGUGGGAGCGAACA
rnacentral:rRNA from 1 species